rnacentral:rRNA from 1 species
UACGUAGGGGCCAAGCGUUGUCCGGAUUUAUUGGGCGUAAAGAGCUCGUAGGCGGUUCGGCAAGUCAGCUGUGAAAUCUCCACGCUCAACGUGGAGGGGUCAGCUGAUACUGCUGUGACUCGAGUCCGGUAGGGGAGUGUGGAAUUCCCGGUGUAGCGGUGAAAUGCGCAGAUAUCGGGAGGAACACCAGUAGCGAAGGCGGCUCUCUGGGCCGGGACCGACGCUGAGGAGCGAAAGCGUGGGGAGCAAACAGG